CUCCACGAUGUAGGUCAUGAAACCUGCAACAGGCAAGGCCACGCCGGUCACCUAGGUGUCACUGCGCCCUGCUUCCCCAGCGCACGUGGGGCCCCAGAGCACCUGGCAGGGGACAGGGACGCGAACAAGGAGCUAAGAAGAAGCCAAGCCCACUGGCUUGAGAUCAUCGGGAGGCACGGCAACAGCGGGUGGGGCCCAGCUGAAGGAGGCAUCCUGGAGGAAGGUCCUCGGGGCCUGCCUCUGGGGCCCUCCCCGGCUCUUCCCUUCUCUGCGUCCUAAGGGGCAUGAGGCGAGCUGUGUUUCCACCAGGCCCUCUGCUAUGGUAUUUCUGCCUCCCCACAGGCCUAAGAGCGAUGGAGCCAGCUCACUAUGCACUAAAACCUCUGUAACCAUGAGCCAAAACAAACCUAUCCUCCUUUAAACUGAUCUUUGCAGAAAGUUGUCACAGUGAUGAACAGCCAACUAACAUAACAUGUAAAACGCUUAACAGCUUCGCACACAAAAUAAGCCCUGGCUAAGUAGGGGCUGUGAUUAUUUGCAGAGGGAGAAAGACCUAAAGGAGAAAAGGAAAAAAGACUGUGUGCUGGAACUAAGGAAGGCAGGUUGGGAGGGAGAGAAGGGGCAAA